rnacentral:tRNA from 1 species
GGGGGCGUGGCGGAAUCGGUAUACGCGCUCGAUUCAAAAUCGAGUGGGCUUUGCCCUUGAGGGUUCGACUCCCUCCGCCCCUA